AUGCGUACUCAGUCAGUGAUGGCGUCCAAGCAGAUGCUUGUCGCGGUGUUCGCUGUGGCCUUCCUCCCGGUGCUCGCCGUCGCCACGGAGCACUUGGUCGGCGACGACAAGGGCUGGACCCUCAACUUCAACUACACGGCCUGGGCCGAGACCAAUCAGUUCGUCGUCGGCGACACGCUAGUGUUCAAGUACGGGAGCCCAGCCCACAAUCUGGUGGAGGUGGGCGGUCCAGACUUCGUCGCGUGCACCCAGACGGCCGGCGCGGUCGUCAGGACCUCCGGCGAGGACCGUCUCGCGCUCGACACGGCUGGACGCCGGUGGUUCUUCUGCGGCGUCGGCCCGCACUGCAAGAGCGGCAUGAAGCUCAAGAUCACCGUCCUCGACACCGCCGCGCCGACUCCCCAGCCUGCCCCGACCAACCCUGCCAGCAAGCUGCAGGCGCGCUUUGGUGAGACGGCGGGCGCGGUCACCGCGCUCGCCGCAGCCAUGCUCGUGCUCUAG
rnacentral:rRNA from 1 species